AAUGUAGUGAAUUGAAUCAUCUUAGUAGCUAUAAAAAGAAAAUAAAAAUGAUUUUAUUAGUAGUGGCGAACGAAUAUAAAAAAACUAAAAUAAACUUAUUUCUAUACAUUUAAAAAAUAAUUUGGAAAAAUUAACUAAAAAAGUGAUAGUCUUGUAUUUAAUUUGUUAGAAAUUAAGAUUUUGAGUAGAAUAAAUUAAAAUUUGUUUGAAUAAUAGGGAACCAUCCUUAAAAGUUAAAAAAGUUUAAUUAAGCGAUAGUGUAAAAGUACUGUGAAGGAAAGGUGAAAAGUAAUUCUAAUAGAAUUUUGAAAAGAUCUUGAAAUUAAAUGCUAAAUAGCAGCCUAAGCAUUAUAGUUUUAAAUAUGUGCAGGUGUACCUUUUGCAUAAUGGGUCAGUGAGUUAAUUAAUUUAGCAAAAUAUAAAUAUUGUAAAAUAAUAUUAAGUUUUGAAUAAUCUGUUUAUAGUUAAAUUAAUUAGACCCGAAACCAAGUGAUCUAGCCAUGAGCAGGUUGAAGUUAAUUAAAAGUUAAUGGAGGACCGAACCCGUUUAUGUGGAAAUAUAUUGGGAUGACUUGUGGUUAGGGGUGAAAGGCUAAUCAAACUUGGAGAUAGCUGGUUUUCUACGAAAUUUAUUUAAGUAAAGCUUAAUUUAAAAUAAUUUAUUAAAGGUAGAGUACUACAAUGAAACCCUAAGGUUCAGGUAAACUUCGAAUAUUAAUAAAGUAUAAAUUAAAGACAGAUAGUUUGCGAUAAGGUAAAUUAUCAAAAGGGAAAGAGCCCUGAUUAUAAGUUAAGGUUUCUAAAUAUAAUUAAGUUAAAAAGAAUAUUUUAUUACUAAAACAAAUUGGAGGUAAGCUUAGAAGCAGCGAUCCUUUAAAGAAAGCGUAACAGCUCACUGGUCUAAAUAAGGGUUCCUGCGGCGAAGAUGUAACGGGACUAAAGGUAUUCACCGAAGCUUAGGGUUGCAGUUUACUGCAGCGGUAGCGGAGCGUUCCGUAAGCGGUUGAAGCCGAAGGGUAACCGACGGUGGACGUAUCGGAAGUGAGAAUGCUGACAUGAGUAGCGAUAAAGGGAGUGAGAACCUCCCUCGCCGAAAGCCCAAGGGUUCCUGCGCAAGGCCAAUCCGCGCAGGGUGAGUCGGCCCCUAAGACGAGGCAGAAAUGCGUAGUCGAUG
rnacentral:rRNA from 1 species